AAAGUAGCCUUUCCCGGUGAGCAGUACUGUGUUUAUUGGGGAAAGGGAGCUCUAUUUGUCAGACAUCUGGAAAAUGAAGUCGAGGUGUCAAACAAGGAACUUGAAGAAUGUGCUUUCUUCGACAUGACGACCCAUCGGAUGCCGUUCACUCUUCAGCCACGUGAAAGAAUAGUAUCCGGAGUUCUCGUCACUUUCAUCUUGAAGCAAAAAAUCACCAAGGAUAUCGGCUUUACAGUAUGGUACAAAGAUGUGCCGCAUGAGAAUCCAAGUGCCCAAUCAACUCCGACAGGAUCUGCAUCGUCCAAAGGCAAAGUUGAACCAACUGAUGUUGGACGGGGAACAU
rnacentral:lncRNA from 1 species